rnacentral:rRNA from 16 species
CUUGGUGGUCCUAGCGACUGUGACCCACCCGAUCCCAUCUCGAACUCGGCCGUGAAACCAGUUAGCGCCGAUGGUACUAUGUCUUAAGGCAUGGAAGAGUAGGUGCCGCCAGGC